UUUAAUUGAAGAGUUUGAUCAUGGCUCAGAUUGAACGCUGGCGGCAGGCUUAACACAUGCAAGUCGAGCGGUAGCACAGGGGAGCUUGCUCCCCGGGUGACGAGCGGCGGACGGGUGAGUAAUGUCUGGGAAACUGCCUGAUGGAGGGGGAUAACUACUGGAAACGGUAGCUAAUACCGCAUAACGUCGCAAGACCAAAGAGGGGGACCUU
rnacentral:rRNA from 1 species